GACGAACGCUGGCGGCGUGCUUAACACAUGCAAGUCGAACGGAAAGGCCCUGCUUUUGUGGGGUGCUCGAGUGGCGAGCGGGUGAGUAACACGUGAGUAACCUGCCCUUGACUUUGGGAUAACUUCAGGAAACUGGGGCUAAUACCGGAUAGGAGCUCCUGCUGCAUGGUGGGGGUUGGAAAGUUUCGGCGGUUGGGGAUGGACUCGCGGCUUAUCAGCUUGUUGGUGGGGUAGUGGCUUACCAAGGCUUUGACGGGUAGCCGGCCUGAGAGGGUGACCGGCCACAUUGGGACUGAGAUACGGCCCAGACUCCUACGGGAGGCAGCAGUGGGGAAUAUUGCACAAUGGGCGGAAGCCUGAUGCAGCAACGCCGCGUGCGGGAUGACGGCCUUCGGGUUGUAAACCGCUUUCGCCUGUGACGAAGCGUGAGUGACGGUAAUGGGUAAAGAAGCACCGGCUAACUACGUG
rnacentral:rRNA from 1 species